GACAGAGGCCUCAAGCGUUAGGCGGAAUCACUGGGCUUAAAGCGUGUGUAGGCGGGUCGUUAAGUACCUUGUGAGAUCCCCCGGCUCAACCGGGGAACGGCUGGGUAUACUGGCGGUCUUGAGCCAUCCAGGGGCAGUCGGAACAGACGGUGGAGCGGUGAAAUGCGUAGAUAUCGUCUGGAACGCCGAAGGUGAAAACAGACUGCUGGGGAUGAGCUGACGGCUGAGAC
rnacentral:rRNA from 1 species